CACAUUUUCCACAACAUACAUUCGAUCUUGCAUGUAGCUGAGACACCAAGCUGCUCCACCUCUCAUUCCCCAUGUUGGUAGCUCACCUGCAGCGCCUCACACGGCGGCGCCACCCUCAUCGCGGAGGCUAAAGGCCGACGACAUGCCAUGAAAACACUACAAAUCAUAUGGUUCAAUGAGAAUUGUCGCAGUAAGAACAAAAAAUUCAAGGCAUAAAUCUUUACUGCGUUCUCCUAAGACUUAUGCCUCUAUUCAAGGAAAAACAUACAGUAUCAGGAUUCUCGUCUCAAGUUUGUAUUUUUUUAAAAUGAGCUGUUGCAUUCUGCAUUUGAAUCAAAACAGACAGAUAAUGAAGCCAGAAAUUAAAGGAGCUGUUACCUGUGAGUAGUGGGUAUCUAAAUCAACG